rnacentral:misc_RNA from 1 species
GAUGAAGAACGUAGCGAAAUGCGAUAAGUAGUGUGAAUUGCAGAAUUCCGUGAAUCAUCGAAUCUUUGAACGCACAUUGCGCCCGCCAGUAUUCUGGCGGGCAUGCCUGUUCGAGCGUCAUUACAACCCUCAGGCCCCCGGGCCUGGCGUUGGGGAUCGGCGGAGCCCCCCGUGGGCACACGCCGUCCCCCAAAUACAGUGGCGGUCCCGCCGCAGCUUCCAUCGCGUAGUAGCUAACACCUCGCGACUGGAGAGCGGCGCGGCCACGCCGUAAAACACCCAACUCUUCUGAAGUUGACCUCGAAUCAGGUAGGAAUACCCGCUGAACUUAAGCAUAUCAAUAAGCGGAGGA